GAAAAGAAGGGGAAAGGAGAAGAAGGAGAAAGGAGGGAGAAGGAAGGGAGGAAGAGAGAGAGCUAUUCUCAACCGAUUGGAGCGAUUCAAAAGCCUAAAUCACUUAGAAUCUCGCCCUCAUCAUUAAUCCUAGCUUAGUUCUUAGUGGGGAGCUUUGUGUGGUGAGAUAUUGCCCCUCAAAAAUUCGGCCCUUUGGAGAAAUUGAGGUGUUUGAGAGCUUCAACCUUCAUUGGGGCUUGAGGUGCCAUCAAUCCUUGGUUGUGUGACCAUUGGUGGAUUGAGGCAAGAGGACCAAGUGGAGUGACCAACCCUUGGGGUUGUGUGCAAUUGAGGAAAGCUCAAGAGCAAGGUACUGAUAGAGGUGAGGUUGAUCGAGGCAAGAAGCGUGAGUAGACUGUACCUGAUAGCUGGACAUGUUGAGUUGCAUGCCAUUUAGCAUUGCUAUAUGUAUAUUUUGAUGCCACAUGAUGUAUUUUGGAGGACUUAGUGCAUGAUCAUUGUAGUAGUAAUGGGUAUCUGAUACAUGGUUACUUGCUUUGA